GACGAACGCUGGCGGCGUGCUUAACACAUGCAAGUCGAACGGAAAGACCCUGCUUUUGUGGGGUGCUCGAGUGGCGAACGGGUGAGUAACACGUGAGUAACCUGCCCUUGACAUUGGGAUAACUUCAGGAAACUGGGGAUAAUAUCGGAUAGGAGCUCCUGCUCCAUGGGGGGCGUUGGAAAGUUUCGGCGGUUGGGGCUGGACUCGCGGGUUAUCAGCUUGUUGGUGAGGUAGUGGCUUAACAAGGCUUUGAAGGAUAGCCGGCCUUAGAGGGUGACCGGCCUCAUUGGGACUGAGAGACGGCGCAGAAUCCUACGUGAGGCAGCAGUGGGGAAUAUGGCACAAUGGGGGGAAGCCGGAUGCAGCAACGCCGCGUGCGUGAUGACGGCUUUCGGGUUGUAAACAGAUUUCGCCGGUGACGAAGCGUGAGUGACGGUAAUGGGUAAAGAAGCACCGGCUAACUACGUG
rnacentral:rRNA from 1 species